UACGUAGGGGCCGAGCGUUGUCCGGAGUUAUUGGGCGUAAAGCGCGCGCAGGCGGCCUCGCGCGCCCGACGUGAAAGCCCCCGGCUUAACCGGGGAGGGUCGUUGGGGACGGCGGGGCUUGAGGGCGGGAGAGGUCGGUGGAAUUCCCGGUGUAGUGGUGAAAUGCGUAGAUAUCGGGAGGAACACCAGUGGCGAAGGCGACUUCCUGGCCUGUUCUUGACGCUGAGGCGCGAAAGCUAGGGGAGCAAACGGG
rnacentral:rRNA from 1 species